rnacentral:rRNA from 1 species
GAUGAACGCUGGCGGCGUGCUUAACACAUGCAAGUCGAACGAAACACCUUAUUUGAUUUUCUUCGGAACUGAAGAUUUGGUGAUUGAGUGGCGGACGGGUGAGUAACGCGUGGGUAACCUGCCCUGUACAGGGGGAUAACAGUCAGAAAUGACUGCUAAUACCGCAUAAGACCACAGCACCGCAUGGUGCAGGGGUAAAAACUCCGGUGGUACAGGAUGGACCCACGUCUGAUUAGCUGGUUGGUGAGGUAACGGCUCACCAAGGCGACGAUCAGUAGCCGGCUUGAGAGAGUGAACGGCCACAUUGGGACUGAGACACGGCCCAAACUCCUACGGGAGGCAGCAGUGGGGAAUAUUGCACAAUGGGGGAAACCCUGAUGCAGCGACGCCGCGUGAGUGAAGAAGUAUUUCGGUAUGUAAAGCUCUAUCAGCAGGGAAGAAAAUGACGGUACUUGACUAAGAAGCCCCGGCUAACUACGUG